GUGCUCCCUUCAUAGCACCUAAAUAAAAUUAGAAGCUACAGAAAAGAUUAGCAUGGACUCUGCCCAAGAAUGCCAUGAACUUUUUUUAAACAUUCCAUGCCUUA